rnacentral:rRNA from 1 species
GUGGAUUAGAUACCCUGGUAGUCCACGCCGUAAACGUUGGGCACUAGGUGUGGGACUCUAUCGACGGGUUCCGUGCCGUAGCUAACGCAUUAAGUGCCCCGCCUGGGGAGUACGGCCGCAAGGCUAAAACUCAAAGGAAUUGACGGGGGCCCGCACAAGCGGCGGAGCAUGUGGCUUAAUUCGAUGCAACGCGAAGAACCUUACCUGGGCUUGACAUGUAGGGAAAAGCCGUAGAAAUACGGUGUCCUUCGGGGUCCUACACAGGUGGUGCACGGCCGUCGACAACU